CCUACGGGUGGCAGCAGUGGGGAAUAUUGGGCAAUGGGCGCAAGCCUGAACCAGCCAUGCCGCGUGCAGGAAGACGGCUCUAUGAGUUGUAAACUGCUUUUGUACGAGGGUAAACGCAGAUACGCGUAUCUGUCUGAAAGUAUCGUACGAAUAAGGAUCGGCUAACUCCGUGCCAGCAGCCGCGGUAAUACGGAGGAUUCAAGCGUUAUCCGGAUUUAUUGGGUUUAAAGGGUGCGUAGGCGGUCGGAUAAGUUAGCGGUGAAAUCCCGAGGCUCAACUUCGGAAUUGCCUCUGAUACUGUUCGGCGAGAGAGUAGUUGCGGUAGGCGGAAUGUAUGGUGUAGCGGUGAAAUGCUUAGAGAUCAUACAGAACACCGAUUGCGAAGGCAGCUUACCAAGCUACUUCUGACGUUGAGGCACGAAAGCGUGGGGAGCAAACAGGAUUAGAUACCCGGGUAGUC
rnacentral:rRNA from 1 species